rnacentral:rRNA from 1 species
AGUGGCGGACGGGUGAGUAACACGUGAUCAACGUACCCUAAGGACUGGGAUAGCCAUCCGAAAGGAUGUGUAAUACCAGAUAAGACCACAGUACCGCAUGGUACAGUGGUAAAAGAAUUCACCUUGGGAGCGGAUCGCGGACUAUCAGCUUGUUGGUGAGGUAACGGCUCACCAAGGCUAUGACGGUUAGCCGGCCUGAGAGGGUGAACGGCCACACUGGAACUGAGACACGGUCCAGACUCCUACGGGAGGCAGCAGUGCUGAAUCAUUCACAAUGAGCGCAAGCUUGAUGAUGCGACGCCGCGUGGAGGAUGAAGGCCUUCGGGUUGUAAACUCCUGUCAGGGAUUAGGAAUUUUGACCAAUCCCAGAGGAAGCACCGGCUAAAUUCGUGCCAGCAGCCGCGAUAAUACGAAUGGUGCGAGCGUUGUUCGGAAUCACUGGGCAUAAAGGGUGCGUAGGUGGUCAUGUAAGUCAGAUGUGAAAGCCCUCGGCUCAACCGGGGAAUUGCAUCUGAUACUGCAUAACUUGAGUCCAUGACCGGGUGAGCGGAAUUCCAGGUGUAGCCGGUGAAAUGCGUACAUAUCUGGGAGAACGCCAACGGCGAAGGCAGCUCACUGGCGUAUAACUGACACUGAGGCACGAAAGCGUGGGGAGCUAACAGGAUUAGAUACCAUGGUAGUCCAUGCUGUAAACGAUGGAUACUUUGUGGAGGGGGUUUGACGCCCUCUCUGCCGGAGCAAAUGCGUUAAGUAUCCCGCCUGGGGAGUAUGGUCGCAAGGCUAAAACUCAAAGGAAUUGACGGGGGCUCACACAAGCGGUGGAGGAUGUUGUUUAAUUCGAAGCAACGCGAAGAACCUUACCCGGACUUGACAUGUUAGUUACAAUCCCGAAAAGGUGCGGAUCUGGGUCAAACCAGAAGCUAACACAGGUGCUGCAUGGCUGUCGUCAGCUCGUGUCGUGAGAUGUUGGGUUAAGUCCCAUAACGAGCGAAACCCUUAUCGUCUGUUGCUACCAGGUUAUGCUGGGCACUCUGGCGAGACUGCCGGUGCUAAACCGGAGGAAGGUGGGGACGACGUCAAGUCAUCAUGGUCCUUACGUCCGGGGCUACAAACGUCCUACAAUGGCUGGUACAAAGAGGAGCAAUACCGCGAGGUGGAGCAAAUCUCCAAAGCCAGCCAUAGUUCAGAUUGGAGGCUGAAAUUCGCCUCCAUGAAGCCGGAAUCGCUAGUAACCGGAGAUCAGCCAUGCUCCGGUGAAUAUGUUCCUGAGCAUUGUACACACCGCCCGUCAAGCCACCCAAGUUGGAAGCACCCGAAGU